rnacentral:rRNA from 1 species
AACGAACGCUGGCGGCAUGCCUAACACAUGCAAGUCGAACGAGACCUUCGGGUCUAGUGGCGCACGGGUGCGUAACGCGUGGGAACCUGCCCUUAGGCUCGGAAUAACUCCCCGAAAGGGGUGCUAAUACCGGAUAAUGUCCUCGGACCAAAGAUUUAUCGCCUUUGGAUGGGCCCGCGUUGGAUUAGCUAGUUGGUAGGGUAAAAGCCUACCAAGGCGACGAUCCAUAGCUGGUCUGAGAGGAUGAUCAGCCACACUGGGACUGAGACACGGCCCAGACUCCUACGGGAGGCAGCAGUGGGGAAUAUUGGACAAUGGGCGAAAGCCUGAUUCAGCAAUGCCGCGUGAGUGAUGAAGGCCUUAGGGUUGUAAAGCUCUUUUACCCGGGAUGAUAAUGACAGUACCGGGAGAAUAAGCUCCGGCUAACUCCGUG